rnacentral:rRNA from 1 species
CUUUGAUCAUGGCUCAGGAUGAACGCUAGCUACAGGCUUAACACCUGCAAGUCGAGGGGCAGCAUGGUCUUAGCUUGCUAAGGCCGAUGGCGACCGGCGCACGGGUGAGUAACACGUAUCCAACCUGCCGUCUACUCUUGGACAGCCUUCUGAAAGGAAGAUUAAUACAAGAUGGCAUCAUGAGUCCGCAUGUUCACAUGAUUAAAGGUAUUCCGGUAGACGAUGGGGAUGCGUUCCAUUAGAUAGUAGGCGGGGUAACGGCCCACCUAGUCUUCGAUGGAUAGGGGUUCUGAGAGGAAGGUCCCCCACAUUGGAACUGGGACACGGUCCAAACUCCUACGGGAGGCAGCAGUGAGGAAUAUUGGUCAAUGGGCGAGAGCCUGAACCAGCCAAGUAGCGUGAAGGAUGACUGCCCUAUGGGUUGUAAACUUCUUUUAUAAAGGAAUAAAGUCGGGUAUGCAUACCCGUUUGCAUGUACUUUAUGAAUAAGGAUCGGCUAACUCCGUGCCAGCAGCCGCGGUAAUACGGAGGAUCCGAGCGUUAUCCGGAUUUAUUGGGUUUAAAGGGAGCGUAGAUGGAUGUUUAAGUCAGUUGUGAAAGUUUGCGGCUCAACCGUAAAAUUGCAGUUGAUACUGGAUAUCUUGAGUGCAGUUGAGGCAGGCGGAAUUCGUGGUGUAGCGGUGAAAUGCUUAGAUAUCACGAAGGACUCCGAUUGCGAAGGCAGCCUGCUAAGCUGCAACUGACAUUGAGGCUCGAAAGUGUGGGUAUCAAACAGGAUUAGAUACCCUGGUAGUCCACACGGUAAACGAUGAAUACUCGCUGUUUGCGAUAUACGGCUAGCGGCCAAGCGAAAGCGUUAAGUAUUCCACCUGGGGAGUACGCCGGCAACGGUGCAACUCAAAUGAAUUGACGGA